rnacentral:rRNA from 1 species
UGCCAGCCGCCGCGGUAAUACGGAGGGUGCAAGCGUUAUCCGGAAUCACUGGGUUUAAAGGGUGCGUAGGUGGCACAGUAAGUCAGAGGUGAAAGCCCGUCGCUUAACGAUGGAAAUGCCUUUGAUACUGUUGUGCUUGAAUCAGGUUGAGGUAAGUAGAAUGUGGCAUGUAGCGGUGAAAUGCAUAGAUAUGCCAUAGAACACCGAUUGCGAAGGCAGCUUACUAGGCCUGUAUUGACACUGAGGCACGAAAGCGUGGGGAGCGAACAGGAUUAGAUA